GUAACUUGAAACUGGAGUCACCGAGCAUGCGCAGGACAUAUUAACACGGGAGUUUAACUAACGCAACAGCAGGGACUUCCCUUUAUGUUUCUUGGCAUUCCUCCCACUGCCAGAGAGCCAGGCUGAGAUCCUCUUUGGGACUGAACACGAACGACUACGCUGUUACGAUGACAUGGGGCUGCUGAAUCCAACUGCCUGGUUUUGGAAAGGAUUUGAUGGAAAAUGCAAACCCAGCAUGGAGCGGUACGAUGAAGUACAAGACCAUGAAGUUGAUUGAACUCACCUCCAUUUUCUCCGGAAGAUGAUCCCAAGUAAAGCAGGCGUAUUCACAACACCGAGUCUCCUCGCUCGAGAACAUGGCACCCACUUGAAUCUAAGAGCUUUUCCGUCCCCUGAUGCCUCCUGUAUGUAGGUUUGGUAAGUUCAUUCCCCGGUACCCUGCCUUUCCUUGUUAUUUGGAGUUGGACCAUUCCGUUUGCAGCCUGUCUUUUUGCUUAGUGCCCUCUCAUUGCUUAUGCCCUUGCCCUGCACAGUGUGGUUCUCCACACGGCAGUGUAACUGGGCCUCUGAAAUGACUCAGAGCAUUCCUCUGCCCCAAAUCCUCCCAUGGCAUCCUACUUCAGGGCUCACUGCUGCACACCUGAAAGUCCACCUCUGAUUUAAGGUCAAGAAGGCUGCGCAGCCCUGCCCUUCGCUUCAUUUAAGUCUCCGCUCUAAUGCCAUCCCCUUUAAAAGAAUGCCGUCCAUGGAUAUUUCAUCCUAUGCCUUACUUUUCUUUACAUAAUGCACUACUGUGUAGGAUACUGUCACGCAUUGUACUGGCCUGUCCUCUGCCUCGCCAACAGAACGCCAAUCCCAUAGGGCGGGGCUCUGUUUUACUUGUUGCACACAGAAUAUAGAGGCGGGCAAGUAUCAGUUCUGCAGACCGUACUCAGGAGACACAACUGGAGAGACUUCUGACCUGAUGAGCUCCAGG